CCUACGGGUGGCAGCAGUGAGGAAUAUUGGUCAAUGGGCGGAAGCCUGAACCAGCCAAGUCGCGUGAGGGAUUAAGGCCCUGCGGGUCGUAAACCUCUUUUGCCGGGGAGCAGAGGUCCGGACGUGUCCGGGCCGGGAGAGGACCCGGAGAAAAAGCAUCGGCUAACUCCGUGCCAGCAGCCGCGGUAAUACGGAGGAUGCGAGCGUUAUCCGGAUUUAUUGGGUGUAACGGGUGCGUAGGCGGGCAUUUAAGCCGGCGGUCAAAUGUCGGGGCUCAACCCCGGCCUGCCGUCGGAACUGGGUGCCUUGCGUGGGCGAGAAGUAUGCGGCAUGCGUGGUGUAGCGGUGAAAUGCAUAGCUAUCACGCAGAACCCCGAUUGCGAAGGCAGCAUACCGGCGCCCUACUGACGCUGAGGCACGAAAGUGCGGGUAUCGAACAGGAUUAGAUACCCUUGUAGUC
rnacentral:rRNA from 1 species